ACCCAUGGUUAGCACAGGCCUGGAGAUGUUAAUGGAAGGCAGCUGCCUAUCUACUGCAGUUCUCUGCCCCCACCUCAUUUUCCCUUGUUUGAAGUCCCUCUCUGACCAGCUUCCUGAGGAGCCAGGCCCGGAUUACCAACUUUCCUCAGACCCUGAAGGUACAGGACACUUCUGAAGUCUCGAGGCAAUGUAAUUAAUCAGCUAUAUGGAGAGAUGGAGUCCAGUUAAACUAUCAGCCACUACUGGCGAUCUGCAGUGGAGCCAUACUGAUCCUGCAGUACGUGAGGCAGAACUCCCUGUAUGAGCCAUUAAAAGAAGUCAGAUCCUGCUGAGGAGGAGAGCUCAGCUCAGUAAUCACCGUGAAGGUGUUCAGGAAGUUUGAGGAAGUGGGAUAAUAUGAAAUUCCAUAAAGUGCAAAGCAAUGUAGAGAACAAGACAAAUAAAAGAAGACAACAGAUUAUUUUUGCAUUGAUGAAGUCAUGAGUUCUUCCCUGGACCUUCCAUAUCUCCUUUGAUCAAGCUUCCUAGACCUCUCCCCUGAAAUGUGGCAUCUGAUCUGGUUAAAGUUAGAUAUAUAAACUCCCUGUCACUCUCAGAGCUCUUCCCAGCUAUGCAGCUGCCUGUCAAGGAAUACACAACCCACUGCAAGUAUCUUCUAAGUGCACCUGAAACUGCACCAAACCCCAGAGGACAAAGGCAGGUUACAAGUGCAACAUGCUUAGAGGAUGCCAGGCUUCUUCCUGUCGAGCUGAGAUGGUCUGAAAACCACAUUGAAACAUGGGAAAUUGCAGCUACCACAGAUGGCAGAUGAGGGGUUUUUUGCAGGCUGUAGAUCUCUCCUGCCACUCCCCUCGUGGCUGGUAACGGUUGCACGAAGGUAAUGAAUGGAUGGAGGCUGGCAAAGCCAAGAGUCGGUGUGCUGUUGUGGGACUGGGGUGAAUGGACUAUGAUGAUACUGCUGAAUAGGAAUACUUGUGGAGCUAAUACAAACAAUUUGUAAUUGUCAGAGCUGAAAAGUAAAAACAUGAUUAUAAACUGUGCAUAGGAUCAGCUUAUGUCAGCUUUAAAUGAUUUAAAAGUCUAGUGUCUGGAGCUGCAUCUUACUUGCCUGCAAAACUCCUUAAAGAAGACUUACAUAACCAUACAAGCAUGUCUCUCCCUUCUUGUGUAUUUAUUGUGAAAACUAACCCUUUGUCUAGCUGACAGAAGACGUAUUUUUAGGACAGAUGUGAAACAAAGCCUUCUGGAUACAUCAGAAGAUAGGGAUUUUCUUGAUUUAAAUAGAAGAGACACUUGCUUGGUCACAGUAACUCUUUCAGAAAGUGCUGGUUAUCCUUGUUUUAUGCAGGAAGAGACUCUGAAUAACUAGGUGCUAAUGCAGCCUACAGCACCUUGGUCAGCUGGUGGCUUUGUGCUGUGCCAGGCUUGGAAGCUGUUUCUGGGUGGAAGCGGUGCAAAUUUGUAAAAGAUGCAAACUUCCCUGAGACAAGGGAAGGAGCAUAAGAAAGCCUCUUCUGUUACCUAGAGCCUACCGUCAUUAUGCCUGACCUGAACUCAUUAUCCCUUGGUAUCUACAGCAGACGGUGACCUUUGAUGGCACUGAACCACAGUAUGUGAGGAGAUGCCUUCCUGGUAAUUUUGUCUCCCGAGUGCCAAAUGUGGAAGCUUCCUCACUCCAUGUCCAGGCUUCCUCUACACCAACGCAUGCAAAAAUAUUAAAAUGCUACUAAAUACUACUAAGCAACACUGUUUAGGUGCUGGGUUGCAUUUCUGAUAUUGCUGCAAGUGCCUCUAUCUUCCUAUCACCUAGGAGUCUGGAGUAGGCUGGAAGCAACUAAUUUACCAUGUAAUAAGAUAGGAUCCUGUUGACAUAAGUCAAGGGCAAAACUAUUAAGUCAUUACGUCUAAUGUUGUAACAUUCUGAUACAAAGGCAUGGCUUGGGCCUUUCAGAUGUGCAUCUGACCUUUGAGGAUUAAGUUUCUUCGCAGUUUAUUGUUAGUUCUGAAAAUGUCUUUUUUUUCCCCUUCUGUUUCACAUACAUUGAUCUUUGGCCCUGUGCUAGUACAGCUUGCAUAUCUGCUCCUGAAGUCCUGAUUUGCUGCAGUUUCAUCAGAGGAAGUAAUGAUAGAAAAGGUGUCAUGUUCUUAAUCCAGCAAUGCUGAGAAUGCAUCACAUUUUGCUUUUCUUAGCACUGCCCAUAUCAUGACUUGGCCCAUGGGGUUGCAGGCAGAAAGGAGAAGUAAUAGAAGUGGCUGUCAGGAUUCUUGCACAAAGCAGAGAAAGUGAGGAUUGCUCGUAUCAAUUUAUCUAGGUGUCAUUUAAAUAUAUAUACUAUAAACCUGCCUUGCUCUAGCCCUGUGUUAUUUUGUAAAGCCAACUUUUUUUCAAAUCUAACAGUUUUGCCAAUUAGCCAGAUGAUAAUUUCAACCAUUUUACCCUCCGGCACAGCAGUAGGUUUGCACUUGUUCCAAUUUCAUUGCACAGGCAAGGGAAAUGCAGUUGGACUGUAGAAUUUGCCUUGCUGUUGUGAUUAUCAUCUCUUAAGAUAGAUUCACUUAAUGUCAACUUCGUAGACCUGUUUAGCCCUAAAACUUUUGGCUUAAUGCUUUCCAUUUUAUGAGUCAGUCUUUGAAAUAAAGAGACAAGAGAUGUUCUCACU